UACGAAGGGGGCUAGCGUUGCUCGGAAUCACUGGGCGUAAAGCGCACGUAGGCGGAUUGCUAAGUCAGGGGUGAAAUCCUGGAGCUCAACUCCAGAACUGCCCUUGAUACUGGCGGUCUCGAGUCCGGGAGAGGUGAGUGGAACUGCGAGUGUAGAGGUGAAAUUCGUAGAUAUUCGCAAGAACACCAGUGGCGAAGGCGGCUCACUGGCCCGGUACUGACGCUGAGGUGCGAAAGCAUGGGGAGCAAACAGG
rnacentral:rRNA from 1 species